rfam:Paenibacillus mucilaginosus 3016, complete genome.
GGACCCCGAUGUAACUGGCGACGAGUGGGAUCAACCACAGUGGAGCAUCGGGACAUACGGCCGGUCGCCUGGGCAAAGAGC